GGCCAGACUCCUACGGGAGGCAGCAGUGGGGAAUAUUGCACAAUGGGGGAAACCCUGAUGCAGCGACGCCGCGUGAGCGAUGAAGUAUUUCGGUAUGUAAAGCUCUAUCAGCAGGGAAGAAAAUGACGGUACCUGACUAAGAAGCCCCGGCUAACUACGUGCCAGCAGCCGCGGUAAUACGUAGGGGGCAAGCGUUAUCCGGAUUUACUGGGUGUAAAGGGAGCGUAGACGGCGGUGCAAGCCAGAUGUGAAGGCCCGGGGCUCAACCCCGGGACUGCAUUUGGAACUGUGCUGCUGGAGUGCAGGAGGGGCAGGCGGAAUUCCUGGUGUAGCGGUGAAAUGCGUAGAUAUCAGGAGGAACACCGGUGGCGAAGGCGGCCUGCUGGACUGCGACUGACGUUGAGGCCCGAAAGCGUGGGGAGCAAACAGGAUUAGAUACCCCGGUAAGU
rnacentral:rRNA from 1 species